AGGCAAAAUUAAAGAAAAACUGGGCCCAAGCCCCAGCUUCAUCACUCAGACAAGUCCAGUAGUGGGUCAUAUUGGCAGUUUCUAAUGGACCUUGCUUUCGGAGCCUUUUCCGCCAAAGUCUGGUGUCAGAAGAUGGUGAAUAGCAUUCGUGGGUAGUCUGGAGGGUGUGGCUUAAAGUGUCCUGCUAAACAUAUGCUAUUUCUUACAAGGCUUGUGUUAAACGUCAUAGCUAGUUUUGAAUUCUCUGUAAAGGGUCCCUGUCAUUAUUUUUAAACGCAUCUUCUCCACUUUAUACACAUUCUGGUUAUCUUGUGUCUUCACAUCCUCCUGCAGCAUCAUAGGGAAGCCUCAUGGAUAUUAAUACUCCAUUUGAAAGAUGUAAGUACCUGUAAUCUAUAAAUGUGGAACACUUUUAUAGAUAAGGAUAAUCACUGGUAAGAGGAGACAAACAAGGAAUAGUCAAGAAAGAAAGAGGAGUCCAAGAAAUUACCAGGUCUUGGAAACUGAGGGAGAUUUAACAGUCAAGUGUUGCAAAAAGACCAUUGGGUUGGGUGCCUGGUAAGCCACUUAAUGUUCAAAGGAAUGAUUUCUUUGGUGAGGAGGCAAGAGCCAUGGGUAGAAUAAAUGUGGACAGAGAAGGCUUUUUGAGGAUGUAAGGAGAGCAACUGAUAAGAGGAAAUAACUUCAGGAAGAAGCGGGGACAUAGAGAAGGAUUUUGUUCUGUUUUGUUUCAUAAGAGAAUAAUGCUGCACGUGUUUUUAAUAAUGGAGAGAAAAGCAAUAAAGAGCAGAGAACUUGGAUACAAGAGAGGGGCUGAUAAGAAACAAAAUCCAAGAAGAAUUGAGAAGCUUAGGAUGGUUAAUGUAAGUAAAGGAGUUAGGACCAGAGAGGGAAAUGAAAGAACCAUCUCUGUAAUUGGAAGGAGGGAGGAAAGGGUGAGGGAAGAUACAGAGACAUUUAGAAAUGGAGGGAAGAGGAGGGAAAAUUCAUGUUCUGCAGCAUCAGUUGAUUAGGGAUCUAGGUCACCUGCACAGAAGGGGCAGCUGGAGGCUUGAAGAGAGUGGGAAGAUUUCCUAUACUGGAGGAGCGAUAGGGGAAUCAGAUGGAGGUGGGUAAAAAUCCAAGUAGCAGUGAGAGGCUCAUUUAGGGUGGAGAAUGUACAUUUAUUAUGGCAUCAGUUCUUGAAUUCCUAGGAUAUUACAAUAGGCAGGACAAUGGUGGAAAUGGGUGAAUUGGUGUUUCCCAGCAGUAGGGAUUGAAAAGACAGGUUAAGUCCGGAGAAAUGUCAGAGUGUCACAGAGGGGACACUCAUGUUACUAGAGCAUCAUUGACCAAACCAGGUGGAG
rnacentral:lncRNA from 1 species